AUGCGGCUGAGAAAGCAGACAAGAAAGAGCAGAGUAAAUUCAACUGCAUAUUUUCUGUAUUUGCUAGAAAAUGAGCAGAUGGUCCCCCACUAUACCACACUGAUAGCUUCUCAAAGAUUAUACAUAUAUGUUACAUGCAAACAGGCACAGUUAGCAUGUCAUCACAGCUUCAAAUACCAGAGUACCAAUAUCCUCAGAAGAUACAUGCAAACAGAUUUGUCAAUGGUACAUCUAUAACGACAACACCCUCUCAACAGAAUCCUCAAGAUAAAGAAAUCUUAUGUGAUGAGAACCUCAAUAAAGAAGAUAGAAAAAGAU